GUGCUUCCUGCGGCAGCCCACGUGCUAAAAUGGGAACCAUGCAGAGAUUAGCAUGGCCCUGUGAAAGGAUGACAUGCAAAUUCACGAAGUGUUCUGUAUUUGU